rnacentral:lncRNA from 1 species
GUGGACCAAGUAAAUGACUCUCUGGUAACAGAAUUUGUAUUACUUGGACUUGCACAAUCCUUGGAAAUGCAGUUUUUCCUUUUUCUCUUCUUCUCUUUAUUCUAUGUGGGAAUUAUCCUGGGAAACCUCUUCAUUGUGUUCACAGUGAUCUUUGAUCCUCACUUACACUCCCCCAUGUAUAUUCUGCUGGCCAACCUAUCGCUCAUUGACUUGAGCCUUUCAUCUACCACAGUUCCUAGGUUGAUCUACGAUCUUUUUACUGAUUGUAAAGUUAUUUCCUUCCAUAAUUGUAUGAUACAAAAGUUCUUUAUCCAUGUUACGGGAGGAGUUGAAAUGGUGCUGCUGAUAGUCAUGGCAUAUGAUAGGUACACUGCGAUCUGCAAACCUCUCCACUAUCCAACUAUUAUGAAUCCCAAAAUGUGCAUGUUUUUGGUAGCAGCAGCUUGGGUCAUUGGGGUGAUUCAUGCUAUGUCUCAGUUUGUUUUUGUCAUAAAUUUACCCUUCUGUGGCCCUAAUAAUGUGGGGAGCUUUUAUUGUGAUUUUCCUCGGGUUAUUAAACUUGCAUGCAUGGACACUUAUGGGCUAGAAUUUGUGGUCACUGCCAACAGUGGAUUCAUAUCGAUGGGCACCUUCUUUUUCUUAAUUGUAUCAUACAUUUUUAUUCUGGUCACUGUCCAACGACAUUCCUCAAAUGAUUUAUCCAAAGCAUUCUUCACUUCGUAGGCUCACAUCACCGUAGUGGUUUUGUUUUUUGCUCCAUGCAUGUUUCUCUACGUGUGGCCUUUCCCUACUAAGUCAUUGGAUAAAUUUUUUGCCAUCAUGAACUUUGUUGUCACCCCUGUCUUAAAUCCUGCCAUCUAUACUUUAAGGAACAAAGAUAUGAAGUUUGCAAUGAGAAGGCUG